rnacentral:rRNA from 1 species
GAGCGCACCUUCGGGUGAGCGGCGGACGGGUUAGUAACGCGUGGGAACGUGCCCUUUUCUGCGGAAUAGCCACUGGAAACGGUGAGUAAUACCGCAUACGCCCUUCGGGGGAAAGAUUUAUCGGAGAAGGAUCGGCCCGCGUUAGAUUAGGUAGUUGGUGGGGUAAUGGCCUACCAAGCCUACGAUCUAUAGCUGGUUUGAGAGGAUGAUCAGCAACACUGGGACUGAGACACGGCCCAGACUCCUACGGGAGGCAGCAGUGGGGAAUCUUAGACAAUGGGGGCAACCCUGAUCUAGCCAUGCCGCGUGAGUGAUGAAGGCCUUAGGGUCGUAAAGCUCUUUCGCUGGGGAUGAUAAUGACAGUACCCAGUAAAGAAACCCCGGCUAACUCCGUGCCAGCAGCCGCGGUAAUACGGAGGGGGUUAGCGUUGUUCGGAAUUACUGGGCGUAAAGCGCGCGUAGGCGGAUUGGAAAGUUGGGGGUGAAAUCCCGGGGCUCAACCUCGGAACUGCCUCCAAAACUAUCAGUCUAGAGUUCGAGAGAGGUGAGUGGAAUUCCGAGUGUAGAGGUGAAAUUCGUAGAUAUUCGGAGGAACACCAGUGGCGAAGGCGGCUCACUGGCUCGAUACUGACGCUGAGGUGCGAAAGUGUGGGGAGCAAACAGGAUUAGA